UGGGGAAUAUUGCACAAUGGAGGGAACUCUGAUGCAGCGACGCCGCGUGAGUGAUGAAGGAAUUCGUUUCGUAAAACUCUGUUCUAUGGGAAGAAAAGGACUGUACCAUAGGAGAAAGCUCCGGCUAAAUACGUGCCAGCAGCCGCGGUAAUACGUAUGGAGCGAGCGUUGUCCGGAAUUAUUGGGCGUAAAGGGUGCGCAGGCGGCUUUACAAGUUGGAUGUGAAAUAUUGUGGCUCAACCACAAACGUGCAUCCAAAACUGCAAAGCUUGAGUUAAGGAGAGGUAAGUGGAAUUCCUGGUGUAGCGGUGGAAUGCGUAGAUAUCAGGAGGUAUACCGGUGGCGAAGGCGACUUACUGGACUUAAACUGACGCUCAGGCACGAAAGCGUGGGGAGCAAACAGG
rnacentral:rRNA from 1 species